rnacentral:rRNA from 1 species
UAGUACGCGAGUGAAGCGGGAUGAGCUCAAGCUUAAAAUCUCCAUACAAAUUUUGUAUGGCGAAUUGUAGUCUAUAGAUGCGUGAUCAGCGCGUGCACUUAGAGUAAGUUCCUUGGAAGAGGACAGCAUGGAGGGUAAUACUCCCGUCUAUCUCUAAGUUGCGUGUGCGUACGAUCCGUUUUCUUUGAGUCGCGUUGUUUGAGAAUGCAGCGCAAAGUAGGUGGUAAAUUCCAUCUAAAGCUAAAUAUUGGUGCGAGACCGAUAGCAUACAAGUACCGUGAGGGAAAGAUGAAAAGAACUUUGAAAAGAGAGUUAAAGAGUACCUGAAACUGCUGAAAGGUAACCAAAUCGUUUCCAGUGUCUAUAAUCCGUGGUAUAUUUCAUUGACGAGUGUGUUUGUGCAUGUACUAUGGCAGCUUCCUUUUUGGUAGCGCUUUGUGUGUGUGCGAUGUGUGCUUGUUGGUGCCCUGUACUGCGGUGGGACGUCAAGGUCAGUUCGUAUACUGCGACAAAUGACUGUUGAGGAGGUAGGGCUUACGCUUGCGUUUGUCUGUUAUAUCUUGAUAGACUAGUAGUUGCGGUUGGGACUGAGGUGCCUAUAACAUGCUUUUUGAGAAGGAUUGAAUCUCCGUGUGCGCCGUGUGCAAAUAGCUUGCUAUGUGCGUGUGGUUGUAUGUGGAUUGAUACGAACCUUAUCUUGUUGCUGUUCGGGACGUUGACGAAAUGGAACGAUUUGACCCGUCUUGAAACACGGACCAAGGAGUCUAACAUAUGUGCAAGUGUUAGGGUGUGGAAACCCAAGCGCGUAAUGAAAGUAAAGGAUAGCGUAAGCUGUCUGAGGUAGGAAACGCUGUGAAUUUUGGUUUGCGGUGUGGCACUAUCGACCGAUCAUGAACCUUCGUGGUGAAAGAUUUGAGUUUGAGCACAUAUGUUGGUACCCGAAAGAUGGUGAACUAUGCCUG